UCCUGGAGCUGGGCCGACAUGCCCCGGAGACAUUGUUGGAUGAGGGCCGAAAGGCCAGGAAAUUUCAGUGGGGUCUCCGCCCGGCGAUCAGACAGCAUUUAUUGGUGAUGGAGCUCGAGACAUAUUCGGCAGUCCUGGCAAAGGCGCAGGUCAUAGAAAGGAGCUUCGACACCCGCCCUCAGCUAGCGGGAAGUUCCCGACCCUCAGCCCCGCUCCGCAGGCCAGCACCUACCAUGCCUGUCCAACCCAGUAAGAGGCCCAGACCUGCUGUCCAGGCCCCUCCUCAGGCUAUGAGGGCAGCACGUGGGAAGAUCUGCCAGUACUGCGGCAGGGAUCAUGGGGACCGACCCUGCUACCACCUUAACAACACCUGUCGCAUAUGCGACAGUGCCCAGCACUAUGCAAGGGAGUGCCCUAGGAACCAGAAUCAAGGGAGGCCUCCAAUCCAGGGCAGAGUUUAC
rnacentral:lncRNA from 1 species